rnacentral:rRNA from 1 species
UCGAACGAAGCCUUCGGGCUGAGUGGCGGACGGGUGAGUAACACGUAGGAACCUGCCCAGGAGUGGGGGACAACUCCGCGAAAGCGGGGCUAAUACCGCAUACGGUCUACGGACCAAAGCCUUCGGGCGCUCUUGGAGGGGCCUGCGGCGGAUUAGCUAGUUGGUGGGGUAACGGCCUACCAAGGCGACGAUCCGUAGCUGGUCUGAGAGGAUGGCCAGCCACACUGGGACUGAGACACGGCCCAGACUCCUACGGGAGGCAGCAGCGAGGAAUUUUCCGCAAUGGGCGAAAGCCUGACGGAGCAACGCCGCGUGGGGGAAGAAGGCCUUCGGGUUGUAAACCCCUGUUGCGAGGGAAGAAGAUCUGACGGUACCUCGCGAGGAAGCCACGGCUAACUACGUGCCAGCAGCCGCGGUAAUACGUAGGUGGCAAGCGUUGUCCGGAUUUACUGGGCGUAAAGCGCGCGCAGGCGGACUGGUCAGUCCGGGGUGAAAUCUCACGGCUCAACCGUGAGGGGUCCCUGGAUACUGCCAGCCUUGAGGGGCUCAGAGGAGAGUGGAAUUCCGGGUGUAGUGGUGGAAUGCGUAGAUAUCCGGAGGAACACCAGUGGCGAAAGCGGCUCUCUGGGGGCAACCUGACGCUGAGGCGCGAAAGCGUGGGGAGCGAACCGGAUUAGAUACCCGGGUAGUCCACGCCGUA